rnacentral:rRNA from 1 species
AUUGAACGCUGGCGGCAGGCCUAACACAUGCAAGUCGAGCGAGCGGCGGACGGGUGAGUACUGUCUGGGAAACUGCCUGAUGGAGGGGGAUAACUACUGGAAACGGUAGCUAAUACCGCACACAAUGUGAUGUGCCCAGAUGGGUUUAGCUAGUAGGUGGGGUAACGGCUCACCUAGGCGACGAUCCCUAGCUGGUCUGAGAGGUUGACCAGCCACACUGGGACUGAGACACGGCCCAGACUCCUACGGGAGGCAGCAGUGGGGAAUAUUGCACAAUGGGCGCAAGCCUGAUGCAGCCAUGCCGCGUGUGUGAAGAAGGCCUUCGGGUUGUAAAGCACUUUCAGCGGGGAGGCGUUACCCGCAGAAGAAGCACCGGCUAACUCCGUGCCAGCAGCCGCGGUAAUAC